UACGUAGGGUGCAAGCGUUAAUCGGAAUUACUGGGCGUAAAGGGCGCGUAGGCGGUGCCUCAAGUCAGGCGUGAAAGCCCCGGGCUCAACCUGGGAACCGCGCUUGAGACUGGAGUACUAGAGUUCGGGAGAGGAUGGUGGAAUCCCAGUGUAGAGGUGAAAUUCGUAGAUAUUGGGAAGAACACCGAUGGCGAAGGCAGCCAUCUGGACCGACGAC
rnacentral:rRNA from 1 species